CUUUCACUCAGUGGGAGAAUGCUUGUCUAGGGCCUUAGCUUCAACCCCUAGCACACCUGCACACACACACACACACACACACACACACACACACACACACACACACACACUUCAGAAGUGAAGUCAGACUCCCUGGACAAGACCUGGGCCUGCAGUCCAGUAACUAUGCUCUAGUUUUUCCCGUAGCAAUUUCAUCACAGGAGUGAAACCUGGUCCUCCCCUCUUGAGGGGUUUGGGAUCUGAGACGUACCUGCCAGCUGUGACAGCACUCUUAGAACAGACCCAGGUUUUAUUGUACUCAGUGAAUCCUGAGGAUAAGUUUGUAUGUUUAUAACACUCAUGAGGGCUGCGGCUAUAGUUUAGUGGUUGAGAACACACAUUGCUCUUCCAGAUGACCUGAGUUCAAUUCCCAGCACCCACAACAGGUGACUUACCACCAACUGUAACUCCAGCCCCAGGGAAAUCUGAGGCCUCUAAACUCCAAGAGCACCUACACUCACAUGCACACGCGUGCGUGCACACACACAAAAUUUAAAAAUCAAUUUUAUUUUAAAAAAAAUUCUACUUGAAUUACCACAUUCCAUUGCCCUCCCCUCUGUAGUUUGGCUCAGUGGAUCCUGAAGCAGGAUAGACAGUCUUUCAGCAGAACAGAUGGAGGCGGCCUUGAAACCCAAGUCGCCAUCUAUUCCCACCCACAGCAUGUCAGCAGCUCUCUUGGAUUCCACAGAAAGUGAGAGGGAAGGAAAGAAGAAGAAGAAAAAUGGUAGUCAUUAACUAUACCAUCUCUUCAUUUGGCUGAGGAUAAACAGGAUUUAGACUCUCAGUUUUCAUACAAAUAACUUCCUAUAUUCAAACAUUGGAUUGAAUGUUUCCAGAGUACCAACUGCCCAGUUUCAUGCUGGUGCCUCAGAGAACACAUGGCAAGCACAAACAGGCCCACACUUUUUGACUUUUCCAAGGAGGCUAAGAUAACAUGCCCAACAAGAAAAGCAAACAACAAAAACACAAGACAUUAUUAAGUGAUACAGUAUUGAAAAUACUGCAGAAAUUCAAGGUUAUGCAAUGUUUAUAAUGCAAUAACAGAUGUUAUAUAAAAUAGAAUUAUAUUAAGAAAACUGUAAAAUCUGGGACCCCAUUGUUAAUUAAUGGAUGCAAGUUAAUGACUUGUAUCAGUCAGGAUUCUCUAAAGAAGCAGAACUAAUAGAAUAAAUCUAUGUACAAAAAAACAGGAAUUUGUUUUUGUUUGUUUGUUUGUUAAGACAAGGUUUCUCUGUGCAGCCCUGGCUAUCCAGACCAGGCUAGCCUCGAACACACAGAGAUCUGCCUGCCUCUGCUCUGUAAGUGCUGGAAUUAAAGGCAUGCUCUACCACUAUCCCAGGAAAACAGGAUUUAUUAGAGUGGCUUACAGGUUAUAGUCUGACUAGUUCAUGGCUGUCUCCCAGUAGAAAGCACAGGCUGGAUGUCUCUCCUGGUCUUCAGUAUACAUCAGAAUCCUAGAAAAGAAGGUUCUAAUAUCAGUGAAGGAAUUAACUUGAUAGCGAGAACAAGGGCAAGCAAGCAAAAGUUAAGUGUCUUCUUCUUCCGUGUCCUUUUACAGGUUGCCAGAGAAGGUAUGGCCCAGAUUUAAGUUUUAUCUUCCCAUCUUAAAAUGUCUAGACUUAAGCCUGAUGUUAAUCCCAGGACAGUCAGAUCACUACAGAGUUUGAGGCCAGCCUAGUCUACAGAGUGAAUUCCAGGACAGCCAGUGUUACACAGAAAAAUCUUGUCUAAACAAACAAACAAACAAACAAACAACAAACACCACCAACAACAAAACCCCAACAUGAAGUGGAAACUUAUGGGUUUUUCAGAGAAUCAGUUGUGUUGGAUGGUGUUUUGCUGGAGCAAACACAUGAAGGAGUGUUUUCCUGAUGUGGACACAGGUGAAAAACUAAGGCAGACUCGUGAAGCAGUUUUUCACUGGAACAGACACAGAAGAGAGGAUUUUCUGCUAAAGCAAACACAUGAAAGGCACAUGAUGGAUUGUUCGCUAAAGACAAGCAUGUAUUGGUCUGCCUUACAUUGUGUAGUUGAGCUCCAUUUGUCAGGACUCCAUAAAGAGAAACACACCAAAAAGUUCUGGUGUUCUGCUGUGUGGUCUCAGGCUGAUUGGCAGAGUGAUGUCAGCUGAGACAGAUGCACAUGGUGAGGUGAGAACUGUGGAAGACAUGUGGUGUUUGGAGGGUAUAAAAGGACUCAAGGGACAGUGAUGGAGGCUGAGCUUGGCUUGCUCAUAGAGCUAAGCUGUGCAAUGCUUGUUGGUCUCCACUCUUUGCUGAUCUUCGCUUCCCUGAGGCACAGCUGAGAACUUCUCCUGGAGUCCCUCCUGGCCCCUGCUGCUGACUCGUGCCUCCUGCUAUCGUGACUGUACAGAACUGGUCUGCUGGUGUAUCUGUGAAGUGUUAGCAAGUGAAUCAAGCUGCUGCUGCUGACCUGUGCACUGAACUGCUGGUUUCCAGACAACACAGAGGGGAGUUGCUCCACAGAACCUUUCUAAACAGGCCCACUUUCCCCGUAUCCUUCCUUUUCCACUAUCUCUGGUGGGUAGUAGGCUACAAGGAAAGUUAAAGUGUUUAAGAAUCAUUAAAAAUAGGAUUUGAAAAAAAAUCUAAGUUUAGGGUGCGUCUUUGCACUUGAAAUCAGUUCAAUUUUAGUUAAUUCCAGUUAUAGUCAAAUUAAUAGGCCCAAAAUAGCCAUUACAGAAUUCAUAAUCAAAAUGUUUUAUUUUAUGCAACCUACAGAAACUAUAGGAUCUAUAGAAAUACAUGGUGGAAGUUAUAGAAUCAGUGACUCCCUCACCCCGGAAAAGACCAUAGACUGAAUCCAAUUUUAAUUAAAAGGUUUAUUGAGGGGUUGGAGAUUUAGCUUAGCGGUACAGCGCUUGCCUAGCAAGCGCAAGGCCCUGGGUUCGGUCCCCAGCUCCGAAAAAAAGAAAAAAAAAAAAGGUUUAUUGAUUAGCUGCUCGUAGGACUAUCUCUGAGCCAAAUUUGAGAUUGGCAUGAAGGAGAAGGGAAAAACUACACAAAGACCUUCAAUAUCUUUGCAAGCAAGAAAAAAGUCUGUUCUGUUCUGCCGAGUUAAGUGGUUAAGGCAACUCAAAACAGGCUUUUGGUGUCUGUGUAAGAAAGUCACAGAAGCAAAAGAAAAGAAGAAGAAAGCAGUCAUAAUAUAACAGCAGAUAGUCUCAGCUGUGCAUUUUUAGGUUGGGGGGGUCACCGAGUCAGGAUUACUGGGAAUUUUGUAAGGGUCCAUAAUUCGCCUAAGAAUGAUAACCCAGACACGAAUAGUAUGCAAAAGUGAAGAGCUUUUUAUUCUGCAGAAGUUCAAUAUGGGGGGGGGUCUACUAUUUACUAAGAUGGAGACACCCAAGUGAGCUCACAGGCCCAAUUUAAAACACACUAGGGGAAUUCCAGGGAGAGGUAGAAGGAAUUCUGUCGGCGCCAGCACUGACCUGGUACCGAGAAUCGGGCGAAAGCCUACGGGAUGAAAGAAACACACACACACACACACACACACACACACACACACACACACACACACACACACACACAGGUUAUCCUGUCAAGCCAGGAAAGGGGGAGAGAGAGAGAGAGAGAGAGAGAGAGAGAGAGAGAGAGAGAGAAAAUGGAGAGCGGAGGGAAGAGUGAGAGUGAGAGGAAUAGUGAGAGUGAGGAGGAAGAGUGAGAGAGAGAGAGAGAGAGAGAGAGAAAAUGGAGAGCGGAGGGAAGAGUGAGAGUGAGAGGAAUAGUAAGAGUGAGGAGGAAGAGUGAGAGACUCCUAUAGCUUUAUUCACCACUUAUAUACUCAAGUCUUCAGGUAGAAAAUGUCUGGGAAGCACAGUGGGAAACCCUGGCUCGUGACUACCUGGCUCAUGACUUUGGUAACAAAAGACCAACUACGAGACCUGAAUUAAUUAGGGAGAAAUCCCAGAAGACCAGCCUAAAUCUCAAGGAUAAAGGCUGAGGAAGUAAAAGGCAGAAGUAAAUUGACCACCACCCAGGUGUGGUCCAGGUGUGUCAGUUCCACAUGCAUCAGCGGGGCUCAGCAGAGGUCAUGCAGUGGAGAUAUCGGGUGUUUACUACUUGGUCUUUUCUUCCUGUGCCAUAAAUACAUGGGAGAGGCCUCUGUCCAACAAUCCCAUGACUUUUACUGUGGCCAUGCAGUUACAAAGUGGCCAGGCCCAAAUCCAAUAUGGCACUACAGAAUUCCUUUAUGUUGUUUGGUUGGCUCCAUCUCUAGGAGAGUGGGGGUCCUCUGGAUUGGCUCCAGAACCGUUGCUGGGCUUGCGGGGUUGAGGGGAGGGCACAGCUGGGAACUGGGGUCCUGGCCUUAAGCCAGGUAAAGGGCAGCUCUGACGGCAGGGCAGUUUCUGAUUGACUGCCCUUGGCCUGUGGUUUUUCCAGUAAUCGGCUUGCCUGGAUUUGCCCAGUUCUAGGAAACAGAGAUCCUGAACUGCAAUGACUGGGAGUGCAGGGGGUGGCAAAGCUUCAAGGAUGUUGGCAGUAGACGCUUAGGUGAUCAUCCUCGUAGCUUUAUCAGCUAACCUGUUCCCUCGGGCUAUUUCUGAUGCCCUUUGAGAGGAAGCCAUAAUGCCUCCAGUAAAGCAAGUAUUUCUCCCUUAUUUUUGAUGUUGUUUUUUUUUUCUUCAGCAGCCAAUAAUCCCCUCUCUUAGUACAUGAACCCAUGUACAUGAGCUGUAGUAAAGGCGUAUCUGCUGUCAGUGUAGAUGUUAGCUAAGGCGCUUUUGCCAGCUUUAAAGCCUGGGUUGGAGCCUUUAGUUCAGCUUUCUGAACUGAGGUUCCUGGCAGCAAAAAACAGUUGCCCAGAUAACAGUCCAAGUCCACUGCCACGGCCUCUGCAUACCUGACUCACCCUGGAUGAAGCUGCUCCCAUCCAUACAUUCCACAUCUGGCCAGGGUACAUCAGUCAAGUCCAGCCUGAUGUUCUGGACGUGCCCUCCAGAACUAUAGCACAACAUGACCCAUCUAUGGAUGGGUCAGGUAGCAGGGUGGCUGAGUUAAGGGCAGAUGAUGGGUUAGCUCUAUGCAAGGGGGAUUCAACAGAGUCUGAAAGAGCACAGUCUGGUGUUGGACAGCCACUGGCUGGGUGGAUUCUUGAGGGUCCCCUCGAUAGUAUGGGUGUGUGUGUGGGGUGAUAGAUUCCUGCCCGUUGGUUAUUUUUGUCAGUGUCCUUGACUAGCAGGGCAGCGGCAGCCAUGUUCUAGAGGUAAGCUGACUAACCAUCCUUGGGCCACCAGGUCCAGCUUCUUAGAUAAAUAAGUCGCAGGUCUUUUCCAUGGCCCUAAAGUUUGGGUAAGCACUCUCUUUGCUAUGCCCUUUCUCUCAUCCACAUGCAGGUGGAAAGGUUUGCGAAUGUCUAGGAGAAUCAGGGAUGGCACUUCCAAUAAGGCUCUUCCUAGAACCUUAAAGGUCAUGUCCAUCUCAGGGGUCCAUUCUAUUUUUUCUUCUUGGCCCCUAGUAGCCUCAUAUGGUGGUCUGACUCCCUCAGUGAACCCUGGCACUGAGAGUCUGCAAAACCUGGCAGAUCACAGAAAUUCCCAUACUUGCCUUCAGUUGAUGGAACUGGGUUUCUAAGGAUGGUUUCCUUCCAGGCAUCCAGCAGUAACUUUAAUCUUUUUAAGCAACUAUUUUUUAAUGAUGGUUCUUAAAUGUUUUAACCUCUCUUGUAGUUCACCACCCACCAGAGGUGUAGUAGAAAAGAAAAGAUGUGGGGGAAGUGGACCUGUUUAGAAAGGUUCUUUGUAAGCAACUCUCGUCCAUAUCGUCUGGAAAUGUGUGGUUUAGGUCACAGGUUAGCAGGAGCAGCUCAAUUUAUUCACAAACACUUUACGGAUACACCAUCAGUCCAUUUCAGUAGAGUCGAGUUCAUGAACAUGAAUCAAUGGCGGUGACACGACCUAACAGAGACCAGUCUUAGCCUUGGCUGGAGUCAACAGGAGUGACCAAGAGGAAUGCCAAGGAAAGUUCUUGGCUGUAUGUCUCUCAGCAAAACAAAGAGGGCAAAGGCAGGAGACCUUACACAGCUAAGCCUAUAAACAAGCCUAGCUCCUCCUCCAUCACUGUCCAUGGAGUCCUAUUUAUCACAUGUCCUCCAUGGGUCUUGUCUCAGCACAUGUCUUGCCUCACCAUGUUCAUCUGUUUCAGCUGACAUCACUCUGCCAAUCGGCCUGACUCCAUGGAAGCAACACGAAACCAGUGUUUCCUGUAGCAGAAAAUCCUCUCUCCUGUGUCUGCUUCAGUGAAACAUUUCUUCACAAGUCUACCUUAGUCUUUCACCUGUAUCUACUUCAGGAAAACACUUCUUCACGUGUUUGCCCCCCAAAAAUAUCUUCCAACACAACUGACUUUCCAAAGAACCCUUAAGUUUCCACUUCAGGCCCCCCUUGAGUUUAUACCCCAGAUAGGUGACAACGUUAGGCCUUCUUAGAAGACAUUCCAUUGCCAAGUUGAUUCAACUCCUGUAGCAGGUCUCAUGUGGCCUCUGUCAUGUCUCCAGGUCAAGAGCAACAAUCAAGAUGUCAUCUACAUACUGGAGCACAAUUAUUUGGGGGUGGGCCAACCGGUACUCCUCCAAGUUCUCAAAUAGUGCCUUGUAAAAGAUGGUGGGUGAGUUCUAGAAUCCUUGAGGCAGACAUAUCCAGGUCAGUUGUCCUUUGAAGCUUCUCUCCAAGUCUUUCCAUUCAAAGGCAAAUAGAGGCUGGCUUUUGGGUAGACUAAAGAAGGCAUCCCCAGGUCAAGCACCUGUACUUUCUGUGCUUGGGAAGGAAGCUGCUCAGCAGGGUGUACAGAUUUGGAACUGAGAGAUAAAAAUCUGCUGCUGCCUUAUUUACCUCCCUUAAGGUAACCUGCACAGGCGAAUAGUCAUUGGAAUGGGACUUCUUGACCAGAAGGAGGGGAAUGUUCUAUGCUUUGGCAAGGAACCAGAAUCCCUGUCUCCCAGAGCCGGUUAAUAUGAGGGGUGAUCCCUGUUCUGGCUUCUCUGGGUAUUGCCUGAUUCAGGCUGGGUAGUUCCAGCCUUUAAUUGGACUAGAACCAGGGCCUCGUGAUAGGCAAAUCCCACUGGAUUUUUUCUGCCCUGACCUUGGGGAUUUCUGCCAGAAAUCUCUGAAGUAACAGCUUGGAGAUGGGGCUAGUUGAGGGAACAAUUUGUAUUCUUCUUUCUAGAGCCAAGGUCAGAACAUGGGUGGGACCGUUCUUAUCUAGUACUUCCACUCCCUCUGGACCAAAAUGGGUUUGGCCUCCCAUUUUGGCGAAGAGAUCUCUUCCAAGCAUGGAGUAUGGGCAUCCAGGGGUGACCAUAAAUGAGUUACCUGUCACACUCCCAAGUCCACCUUUCUUUGUGUAAGUCCAUGGAUAGGACUCAGUGCCAGUUGCCCCUUGCACCCAUAACUAUUGUUUCAAAACAGAAUAUUGUACCCCCAUGUCCAGCAGAAAGUCUAUGGGCUUCUGACCAAGCCAGCUCAGUCAGUCAACAGGUUCUCCAGGAGGGGACUGAGGAUUAAAAAGAAAAAGACAAUUAGACAACACUGUAGCAUGACCCCAGCCAGUUCUGAGGUUGAAGUGGGUUUACUUUUUCCCAGUCUGCUCUUUACCAUUUUAAUUACAUGCAGAUAAUAAGGUCAGUUCUAGGUCAAGGAACAAACCAGGUACUAAACACAAAUAAUCAAGAACAAGCAAGGCAAUAAACAAAGCCCCAUGAUCACUGUUUCUAGGGCUUAUCAGGAUGACCAAGAUACCUGAGCCUACUUCCCUGUCCUAGCCCAAUGUCAAAUUCUUGCCUGAAGCCUACUUCCUUGUCCUGGCCCAAUGUCAAAUUCUUGCCAAGUUUCUAGAAGCAGCCCCAAAAGCUCUCCACAGGCUUGCCCUCCAACUUUAGGGUUACCCAGGGCGCAUGCGGCAGGUGUGUGUGUGUGUGUGUGUGUGUGUGUGUGUGUGUGUGUGUGAGAGAGAGAGAGAGAGAGAGAGAGAGAGAGAGAGAGAGAGAGAGAGCCCUGACUCCCUCAGUCAUCUAGGUCUUCUAAUUCCAGAAAUUUUGGGCCCUCUCUUUGAUUAUUUUCUUAGAAUACUUAUCUUAGCACACUCAUUCCUCCAAAGGCCUUUUCCUUGCAAUAGGCACAUUGGUCCCUCUCUAGUGGAGGAUGGGUUUUUCCUUUAGUGGAGGCUAGUUUACCUCUGAUCCUUCUAAAAGCGAGGUUUUUCAGCUCUCUCUUAUCAGGACUGCCUCAGCUCAUGGCAUUGAGUAGUACUUUACCAGUCCUGUCUGUCGAUUGAUCCUCGGGGGUCUCCUGGUUGUUGAAAACCUCAGUUAUGGCUACUCAGUCAGUUGCUUACUCCAAAGCCAUCCAGGCAUUGUAGCUUCCAAUGGAUGUCAGUAGCAGCUUGCUUAACAAAAGCCAUGUUCACAGCUGACCGGGUUCCUGGCUUUUGGGUCAAAAGUAAUGCAGGUCUUAUAGGCCUCAAAAACUUUUUUUUUCUUUUCUUUUUUUCAGAGCUGGGGACCGAACCCAGGGCCGUGCGCUCGCUAGGCAAGCGCUCUACCACUGAGCCAAAUCCCCAACCCCUCAAAAACUCUAGAUAUUCUCUGGGGCUCUCAUUCUUUCCCUCCAUUACCUUGCUUACCUUAGACAAGCCUGGCCAACCGGCAGCCUCUUGGAGGCCCCCUAUCAGAAUCUGGUGGUAGACACAGAGCCUCUCUACCUUCAGCAGUGUUAAAAUCCCAAUUGGGUCAAGUCAAAUAGAAGGCUGCAUUGAUAUCAGCCUGGGCAUGUGUAGGCAGCCGAUUUGCUCCAAAAACCAUUUUCCAGGUUGUUCUCACAAUCUUCUUUCUCUCCUUUGUCAUGAUGAAGACCUGGAACAGUUGCUGCCAGUGUCUAACCUCGAUACAGGAUGAGAGUUCUCAACUGGAAGCAGGGAUAUCUGGAAGGUGCAUAAUAAAUAUACACAGACUAUUCUUUGGGUACAAACUGACAGGCAAUUUCAAGGUUUAAAGUCUCUCUCUCUCUCUCUCUCUCUCUCUCUCUCUCUCUCUCAGCUUAAGGCUGCACAUAUUCUGCAUUCUCUUGCACAAUCUGCUUUUUUUUUAUUGCGGUUUUCUUUUCUCAAACUCCCACACUCCCACACUCAUGCACACCUCUGUUCAUUAUCCUUUCACUCUCACACACACUCUUCAUACACACCUCACACACAUCUCACACACACCACACACACUCUCCUUUCACUCACACACACAGUCUUCAUACACACCUCACAUUCUCUCUUCACAUGCAUGAUCUCACUCGAUCUCACAUUUGUUCUCAGACUCGCUCUCUCAUUUGCUCUCACAUUCUCUCUAGCCUUUCUCUUGCCCCAGUCUUUUAUUGAUAAUCCAAAAGCAGGUAGAAAAAAGACAUUGUAUAAUCAUUGCCAAAUCAAAUUCAAAAGAAUAACCCCAUCCCACAAAGAACUAAGAAUUACAAUUGUUCCCCAAAGUUUCAAGCUUCCCCUAUUCCCAGGCCUGUGGCCAAAAUAAUAGUAAUUGUAAACUUAUCAUUAUUUAAACUUUAACUUUUAACUUAUACUUCAGAGCUCAAAGUUCCAAGGUCAGCUAUUUGCAUUUUCCUGUGAAGCUCUAAUGAUAAAUGACAAGGACAAAGCUGCCAGGCAGUGGCCAGAAAGAAUCAAGUUAACCCUUAACUCAAUGGUUUCGCUAGCUUUCUGUUCCUUGCACACAAUGACUCUCAUAAGAGUCCCAGCAUUUUGACUUAGUUUACUAGUGUAUAAUUUCAUAUAUUCUAUACUUCCUUAUCCAGGAACCACUCUCAAAUGUUAUGUGAAACUUAUUUCUUAACUUCAAUAACUUUUUCCUUUCUAAGAUUCCAAUGUUGGCUCUAAUUCAUUUUCUAAUAAUUUCUUUAAAGUUGUUUUGCAAGUGAAGCAUCAAUCUGAAACUACUAUUGUGCAGUUAUUACAUUGUUUCCAAGAUGAGAACACACAGCAUGCACCUGGGCCAUUAGGGCUGUGCUGAGCUGUGCCCCUAUGGCUCAGUUUCCAAUUGUUUGAGAAUCAUAACAUUAGUGAACAUCUAGUUUCACAGAAUUCAUCAGAGCAGAAGGAGAAAGAAGUAGGAAAGUCAGAUAUGAUAGAAUAAUUAUGCACACCGAGGCCAACUGAAAGGUAGUCACACACAAAUGAAAUCUAUACAGCCUUUGUCCAGGGCUAAGGUUAAGUUUAGGAGAAAUGGGAACAACCAGCUUUUACAAAGAGCUGCUGAGGGCUACUGAGAUGUCUCCAUCCCGGCCUACUGCAGGCAGCCUCUUUUUUCAGAUGGUGGGUCCCCUGGAGGGAUGUGUCCCCUGCUUCUCAGGGUCCCAGACACCACCCUACUUUAUAGGGAGCUGCCUCGGGCUUCUGAGAUGCCUCCAUCCUGGUCUACUGCUGGCAGUCCCUGUCAUCGUAUGUUGUCCCCAGCAAGUUGCUAACAGUCAUCCCAAGUGGGCUGGUGAGUCAGCAUGACUGAAUCUAGGAGACUGUAGCUGGUUCAGAAAUCAGAUGAGAUCUAGCAAGUUCUGCUUCGGGUUGGGCGUUGGGGGCAUUCUCAGUUGCCCCUGGCUGAGUAACAAAAUAGGCCUCCAGAUUACUCCUGAAACAGAAACCAGAAACACAGAGACAGACAAGGCAAGAGACAACACAGUGCACAAACUUACCAAUUAGGAAAACACUCCGUGGGGCUGGAGAGAUGGCUCAGUGGUUAAGAGCACCAACUGCUCUUCCAAAGGUCCUGAGUUCAAAUCCCAGCAACCACAUGGUGGCUUGCAACCAUCUGUAAUGAGAUCUGAUGCCCUUUUCUGGUGUGUCUGAAGAUAGCUACAAUGUAUAUAAUAAAUAAAGGAAAACACUCCGUUUGGGUCAGGGGGUUCUCCAGCGAAUUCCAGACCAGCCCCUAAAUGUAAUGGUCUGUAAUUCAGUGAAGAAUGGUAACCUAGACUCAAAUAGUGUGCACAAGCAAUACUCUUCUUCUUAUUCUGCAAAAGUUCCGCAUGCAGGGGUCUACUAUUUAUCAAGAUGGAGAUGCCCAGAUGAGCUCGAAGGCCCAAUUACAGCACUUUAGGGAAAUUCCAAGGAGGGGUAGGUGAUCUUUACCUUGAUUUGUUGGGGCUCUUUGGGGUUGCCUAAGGCCGUACGGACAUUCCAGAACCAUACUGGGAAGCCUGGAAACUUUUGCUGGAAAGCUUAGAAACUGUUGCUGACUCAUUGCCUUGCCCUAGGCCAGGUAACAGGGCAGCUUCUGAUGGCUGACCUCCGCCUGUGGUUUUUCCACUAACUGACUUGCCUGGACUUUCCCGGUUCUGGGAAACAGAGAUCUAGGCCUAGUCUCCUGAACUGCCAAUUUGAAGUCUGUCCUCAGCCUGUUUCAGUCCUCUCAAUGUAUUGUCCAGGGACUGAGUCAGAAGCAAACAACUGGUAGGUACCAGCAUGAAUGGAGCUCCUUUACCUAUAACAAUGGCCUCAUUUGUUUAAUUUUUUGUAUUUGUAAUAUCCUGAAAAUGUCUCUUACAUUCUAAUGUAAGACUCUCAGAGAGAAUCUUCCCUCAGGAGGGAGAUCCUCAAGCCCCAAUGACCAGUCCGAGUCCACCGGCUGUAAUCUGUAAGAGGAUUUUUAUUGAUCAGGAUACACAGGUAUCUGUGGGCGUCCCAGUCAAUUUGGAAGACUGGCGCGCCUACCAGAACCAGGGACGGGCUUUUUAUAGUGUUUUGGGGAGCAGAAGCAGGCUUACAGAAGCAGAUGUAUAGUUACAGGGAUGUG
ensembl:lncRNA